rfam:Stegodyphus mimosarum contig48935, whole genome shotgun sequence.
GCCUUCGUGGUGAAAUGGUCAGCAUACUCGGCGGGUAUUCGAGAGGUCCAAGGUUCGAGUCCCGGGGAGGGCA